AUCGAUCGAAACAUAUCCAAUUUUAUCCAUAUUCUCUACUAGUACUAGAUGUAGGCACUACAACAGAAUUAGGUUAUAGGAACACAUGUUUGGGACACUUUUCAGUAAGUGUCCCAUUUAUGCUAAAACUUAAAAAAACAUCUACUAAUGCCUAAAUAUAAAGCCCAAUCCAACCAAAAAUAAAAGAUUACUCUACUCAACCCACCACACCCAGUCCAUUUGGCCCGAUUACAAACAAAAAAGAAAAAAAAAAAGAAAAAUCAAUUACCAUAUUUUCUUCUCUCUUUACUCAAUCUACUGAAAUUCUAGACGAAGAGCCAUUCCUGUCGUCCUCCUCCGCCACCGCAGCCAACGAGAUAGAGUUUCGGCGGUUGUUAAAUUCUUAAAUAAGUUGUUGGUAAAUUAGCAGCACUCUUUUAGAUUAUAGCAACACUCUUUAACUGUCACUAUAUACCUAGCGACCCCACAUAUAGCAACAUUUUUUAAAAGUGUCGGUAAUUUUAGCUAGCAGCACUUUUUUGACAUGUACCUAUAUUUAAAAGUGUCGCUAUAGACCAUUUUUGUUGUAGUGAGGCAUUAUCACUGAGCAAUGGUAACGUAUAGUU
rnacentral:lncRNA from 1 species